rnacentral:rRNA from 1 species
GAUGAACGCUGGCGGCGUGCCUAAUACAUGCAAGUCGAGCGGCAGCACGGUCUUCGGACUGGUGGCGAGCGGCGGACGGCUGAGUAACGCGUAGGAACAUGCCCUAAAGUGAGGAAUAACUGCCCGAAAGGGUGGCUAAUGCCGCAUAUGCUCUUCGGAGUAAAGCUUUAUGCGCUUUAGGAGUGGCCUGCGUCCGAUUAGCUAGUUGGUGAGGUAAUUGCUCACCAAGGCGACGAUCGGUAGCUGGUCUGAGAGGAUGAUCAGCCAGACUGGAACUGAGAACGGUCCAGACUCCUACGGGAGGCAGCAGUAGGGAAUCUUCCACAAUGGGCGAGAGCCUGAUGGAGCAACGCCGCGUGCAGGAUGAGUGCCUUCGGGUUGUAAACUGCUUUUAUGUGCGAAGAAUUUGACUGUAACACAUGAAUAAGGAUCGGCUAACUACGUGCCAGCAGCCGCAGUAAUAC